UACGGAGGAUGCAAGCGUUAUCCGGAAUGAUUGGGCGUAAAGCGUCCGCAGGUGGCUGUGUAAGUCUGCUGUUAAAGAGUGAGGCUCAACCUCAUAAAAGCAGUGGAAACUACACGGCUAGAGUGCGUUCGGGGCAGAGGGAAUUCCUGGUGUAGCGGUGAAAUGCGUAGAGAUCAGGAAGAACACCGGUGGCGAAAGCGCUCUGCUAGGCCGCAACUGACACUGAGGGACGAAAGCUAGGGGAGCGAAUGGG
rnacentral:rRNA from 1 species